UACGUAGGGUGCGAGUGUUGUCCGGAAUUACUGGGCGUAAAGAGCUCGUAGGUGGUUUGUCGCGUUGUUCGUGAAAUCUCACGGCUUAACUGUGAGCGUGCGGGCGAUACGGGCAGACUGGAGUACUGCAGGGGAGACUGGAAUUCCUGGUGUAGCGGUGGAAUGCGCAGAUAUCAGGAGGAACACCGGUGGCGAAGGCGGGUUGCUGGGCCGACACUGACGCUGAUGCGCGAAAGCCAGGGGAGCGAACGGG
rnacentral:rRNA from 1 species